GUCCCCAUCGUCCAGCCAGGCCUAGGACACCGCCCUUUCAAGGCGGAAACGGGGGUUCAAAUCCCCCUGGGGACGCCA
rnacentral:tRNA from 1 species